CUCCUCGUAGCUUAGGGGUAGAGUAGUGGUGCGUAAAACCAGGAGCCCGGGUUGGAUUCCCGGCAAGGGAG
rnacentral:tRNA from 1 species